rnacentral:misc_RNA from 1 species
GAUGAAGAACGUAGCGAAACGCGAUAUGUAAUGUGAAUUGCAGAAUUCAGUGAAUCAUCGAAUCUUUGAACGCACAUGGCGCCUUCCAGUAUCCUGGGAGGCAUGCCUGUCCGAGCGUCGUUUCAACCCUCGAGCCCCCGUGGCCCGGCGUUGGGGAUCUGCCCAGGCAGUCCCCGAAAACCAGUGGCGGACCCGUUACAGGCCCUUCCCUUGCGUAGUAGCAUUCGCCUCGCAUCGGGAGCCGGCGGGCUUCCAGCCUCUAAACCCCCAUCAAGUCCGCCCCGGCGGCACCAAGGUUGACCUCGGAUCAGGUAGGGAUACCCGCUGAACUUAAGCAUAUCAAUAAGCGGAGGA